AGGGGCGCGUUGAGAAUGGGAAAUGGGGGAUCCUGAAAGGGUUUGAACCGCACAUGGAGCUGUGGGCCGCCAGAAGUCAAACUCUCAAAGAUUAGAUUGGAGAAGACUUCUGAGGUCAUCGAGUCCAGCCUGUGACGAACGCCACCUGUUCAACAGACCAUGGCAUCAGUGCCGCAUCCAGUUUCUUCUUAAACAGCUCCAGCGACGGUACCCCUCCCACCUCCCUGGGCAGCCCAUUCCCAUCUCUAAUCGCCCUCUCAGUGAAGAAAUCCCUCCCAACAUCCAGAAUAAGCCUCCCCUGGCACAGCUGAGGGCUGUGUCCUCCAGUCGUGUCCCCGGUUGCCUGGGAGAAGAGACCAGCCCCAGGCAGGAGCAGAGUGUCCAGGUUUCAGCCCCAUGGCAGCGGGCGCUCAAGCCAGACCCCAGGUCCUUGAGUUGCAUUGGAGGGAGAGCACAGAGCUCCUCACUGCAAGGUCUCCCUGCAGGGCAACCAGUAUGGCUUGAGACAAGUGCAGUUUCUGUGCUGAAGCCAUCCUGAAGAUUGGCAGUGGGGUGACAGUGGUUAGCACAGCACGCCUCUGGCCUUCUGCACUGGUCCUGAACAUUGAGAUCAACAAUGCAGAGAAGAAUAAAUUGCAUUUUCAUUCUUCUUUAUCAAGGCAAGUGAUUGACAUUUUAUCUAUUGCAUCUGCUCAAAGGACAAUCUCAUGAGAGGUGUGUUUGGGGCCUACUUGUUUAACCUGGAGGAUGUACUACAUUCUGUAGAUUUUCUGUAAUGAAAGAUUUUUAUAAGAAGUCACUAAUCUUCUUUGCUUGACUACUUCCUUUUAUAUUUCAGAAGGAAAUCAGGAUUCUUUCUUUAGAGAAUUUUGGAUUCAGCCCUUUUGCAAAUCUGCAAAUCUUAUCAAACAAUACAUUCAAGGAGUCAAAGGACAGAAAAUUUGAGACUGCAAGAGAGCCAAGAUUUUACCCUCAUGAAUUCUGAAGCUGAUGAUGACUGUGGAUAAGGUCAGUUGCUGUGCUAUAAUGAUAUCCCUGACUGACAUGGAUCAGUAUCAGUCUGAGGAAAAGCCUGGUGCACAUGCCUCCCAAAUGCCUCAAUUACUAUAGCAGAAGAACCAGCAGGAUUUGCAGAAGCCUUUGCAAACGAUUUACUUACAGUGGAUCAGGGCAGUAUUCAGGUUGCAGCAGCCUUCUUCCUUGUAUUUGUGCCCACUGCCUCUUGGCCUGCCCUUGGGAACCACUUAGAAGAACCUGGCUUCCUCUUCUUUAAGUCACCAUAUCAGUUAUACAUAUGGAUAAGAUCCCCUUGAACCUUCUCUAGGCUAAAUGAUCCUGUCUUUCUGUGUCUGCACAUGACAUUUCCUUGUCUUGAAUUUAUGAGGUUUCUGUCUGGACAACUCUGGUCUGUUGAAGUCAGUGCAUGGGACAGAACCAUCUGCUGUAUUUACUGAUGUUGUAACUUAAUCUGAUGAAGGGAGUAGGAGGAACUUUGAUGGAUCAACAGGAAACAGUUUAUGCCAUAGCAGGUUCCUGCACCUCUUCCAGGAUAGUGGAAUAGAGUAUAUAGUCCCUGAGGACUAUAUUUGCAGCUGGCUUCCUUUCUGAUAGACAUCACCAGUGCAGCAGGGCCUGAACUGAGCGUUGGAUUGCACAUGGCCUCUGGGGACAGUGAGUCUGGUGGCUGCAGCUCUCCAGGCUCUGAAGUGCUGAUCCCUAUAGGAGUAUAUUCAGUGGUCAUGUGAGACACCCUGAGAGCUGCUCCUUCCUCACCCAAGGAAGAGACAGCAGGCCAGGGGGAAUGUCCCAUUGCCACCAUUUGGACUUUGAUUAGAUGAACUAGGUCUUUUGUUCAGAAACCCAAUGCAUUUCUUCUUAGGAAAUAUCAAAAUCUGCUUGUGGCUUUUUUUUCCCCAUCUCUUUAAACAAACCAAUACCUGCAAUAAAAUGUUCUUUUUCAGAGGCUGUUCAGCUGCACAGGUGUGCAGCCUUGAAAGAAGAGUAAGACAUCUUAUGUCACAGGUUAAUGACCUUUUUGCAGCCAGAGUUCCAGUUUAUGAUGUGCUAAAAAUAAACUUUAAGGCUGUGCCUCAUUAAUUCACAACAUCAGUGAUAAAUCAGCAUAAUCAUAUUGGCAAAUCCUGUAUCAGUUUUUCUUUGUGGGAACAGAACUGUCUGGCUUCCCAGACACUAGUAAGAUUCUUUGAAUAAUAAUUUGUGUGCCUGUUUGAGCCAAAGCAAGCUCAUACUCAUGUAAUGAAAGACUAUUGUCAAGAGGUCUCACUGGUGUUUCUUUGUGUUCCUGUUUUUCUCACCGAGUUCCCCUGUGUUCCUCUCCCUCCUGGUUAGGUGUGGCAGCAGAGACAUACUGCUUCUGAAGAGGCUGGGUGGAAGCACAGCAAGUUGAGGCAACAGCAGUUUAACUUCCCUUAGGAGAUGCCUUUUAAACUCUAACCAAUGAUUUUGAGAGGCUACGCUUUCACCUCAGCUUUCUUAUUUCUCACACUCAAAAAAAGCUUAUGUGUUAGAAAUGAGCCCUUAGCAAGAUGAGUAGCUCAUCAGCAUGCAAGACAAACAUCAGUAUAAUUGCAGAGCAAUGAAAAAACCACCAUCUUUUUACUAAAAAAUAGCAGAAUCCUGGAAAUUUCAGUUUAUCUCAUCUCAUCUCACUGUUUUACACAGAAGAGUGUGGUAAUGUGGCUGAAAGUAGACCUUUGUACUUACAUACA